GUUGCUAUGGUAAUGCCAUUCGGAGACGACCCAAUGUGUCAUUUAUGAAAAUUGUAAAAUGGAGAAUGUAUUUUGUAUGGCAUAUAUAAAUACAAUAGAAAAUACAUUCUCAUACACUCUCUACAUUAGCCAAGUUUCAGUAGGCCGCCUUAGCUCUUUUUGCGAUAAAAGUCGUUCCGACGUAGUCAAUGGCAAAUCAGUUUAAAACCCAAAAUAACAAAAUAUUACAAAAAUGGACACUGGUAUGAGUCAUUUUCGCUAAAUGUCUUCUUAGCUAUGGAGCCGAGCAUUGGCCGCAACAAUUUCGCAUUGGAUGCAAUUGACUCAUCUGCUAGCACAUGGUUUUGAGCAGAGCUGAUGCUUGCCAAUAUAUGCCAGAGAGUACGCUGAUGAAAAACCAAUAUAAAUCAGGAGUUACGGAGUGGAAUAUUUGAAAUUAUCUGCACUUUGGAAUCAUCUGAAAAAGUAUUUAUGCACGAAUGUGACUGGCAGAUUUACGUUAAUUUAGAGAGUAUUUUGGUGAUUUAAAAAUUGAAGUUAUAAGAUGAAAUCAUGGUAAAAUUAAGAAGGUAACGUCUUGCAAUCGUAUGCUUGCAAUAUUUUCAACGACAACAUCUCAUUGUCAAAAUGUCUAUUUAUCCAUUUAUUUAAAUACACUACUCAGAGUA